UUUUUUUUUAAUCGUUUCUUUUUAAGGAUAGAUUCAAAUUGACAGAAAAGUUGCAAAGAUAGUGCAGAGUCUUGUUUUCCCUAUUGUGACAUCUUCCGUUGUCAUGGUACAUUUGUUGCAGCCAGAAACCAAUGCUGGUGCAUUACUGAACAUCCUGACUGAGGUCCACCUUAACCGGACUCCAUGCUUUAUUUGGAUUUUGCUAGUUUUUCCCAAUGUCCUUUUUCUGUUCCAGGACCCCGUCUAGAACAUCUCACUGCACUGCAUCAUCGUGUGUCCUCAGGCUCCUCCUGGACCUGAGGGUUUCUCAGGCUUUCUUUGUUUUUGAUGACUUUGGCAGUUUGAGGAGGACAGUGCGGUAUUUCUUAUAUUGAGAUGUCAUCUGCAUCAUGUGGACUAAACAAAGGGGACAUUUUGAUCCAGAAUAUUUAUCUCACCUGAGGAUGCUACAGAUUUCCUGGCAGUUAUGUUUAAGAUUCAAGAUUCUUUCUACUAGUUCUUCAGGGUAAACGCAGCCUUAAUUUCUGAAAUUGAAUAUUCAUGGAGAAUCUACUAUGUAUAACAUAUUUUGUGAUAAACUAAUGAUCAAGACGUAGCCUUUGCCCUAAGGAGGUAAACCACGGACAUGGAUAACAAUUUCAGAAAGUCAAAAGCUACAAGUGACAUAGAAUAGUUUACAGAAAAGUCAACAAGAGGCCGUACAAAGAUGAGACAAUUUCCAACUGGAAAGAUCUGGAAAGGUAUGUAGGAGGAGGGUGCCAACUGAGCUUGAAAAAUUUGGAGAUGCUGUUGCUGCUGGGUGUCAGCUCCUACCUGGAUUCGAACGUCAGGCAAUGAGACCACCACACUCGCUGGAAUUUUGGUGCACACGUGAGGUACAAGGUUUCACUUCAGCCUUACAAGGUGUAUUUUUAUCCUACUUUGAGAGAAAAGAAGCUGAGACACAGAGAGAAGAGAGUGCUAUACGUGAGUUUGCGAGUUGAGCAGAAGCUGCCCUGGCUCUUUGGGAUCUACCAGCACGAUUUCCCAGCUGCCCAGUGAAGAUCCUGACUGGCUGUGAGCCGCUCAGGAUGCUCUGACAACUUCUGGGUCAGAGGGGGAUGACCUGAUGACCUCUAAGGACCUUCUGACGUCAAGCAUCUGUGGUUCUUCAAGUCCAUACACUGAUAUCACUGUGUAUUGUGACUGUCUUCGGGCUUUGGAGGUGGGGAAUACAUCCCAAUACCGUGUUCAUUCAACAAGGCAUCGUAAGUGGGCAUUGUAAACACUGCAUUAGGAGCAUCAAAACCGUGAACACACAUCCUAAUGUUUUAUUUUGCUUUUUGACCCCAAGAAGUCAUGCAUUAAAUAUCAUAAAUAAAAAUAACAGUCUACUGCUCCUUCAAGGAGGUGGCUCAGAACUUCUCAGAUCUGAAGUGUGGGCUGUGCAUAGUGACUUCCUUCCAAGAAGUACAGUGUGGAAAGGGGAAAAGAGUGACUCUACCGUGAAGACACCUGACACACACGACCUCAGCCAGGUAAUCAAGGUCAACAUCAUCAGUGAUGAGUCAUGUUGACAGCACGCAUCCUGAUAUGAUGUGAUGGGAAUGGCACUUUACGAUCUGCUUCUCAAAACCCCAUAACCCCAGUCUAAUCAGUAGAGAAACAUCAGACAAACCCAAAUUGAAGGAUAUUCUGCAAAAUAUCUGACCAGCACUCCUCAAAAUUGU
rnacentral:lncRNA from 1 species